rnacentral:rRNA from 1 species
AUUGAACGCUGGCGGCAGGCCUAACACCUGCAAGUCGAGCGAGCGGCGGACGGGUGAGUAAUGUCUGGGGACUGCCUGAUCGAGGGGGAUAACUACUGGAAACGGUAGCUAAUACCGCAUACUAUCGGAUAACCCAUAUGGGAUUAGCUAGUAGGUGAGGUAACGGCUCACCUAGGCGACGAUCCCUAGCUGGUCUGAGAGGAUGACCAGCCACACUGGAACUGAGACACGGCCCAGACUCCUACGGAGGCAGCAGUGGGGAAUAUUGCACAAUGGGCGCAAGCCUGAUGCAGCCAUGCCGCGUGUAUGAAGAAGGCCCUAGGGUUGUAAAGUACUUUCAGUCGGGAGGCGUUACCGACAGAAGAAGCACCGGCUAACUCCGUGCCAGCAGCCGCGGUAAUAC